CUUUAAAAAUCUGGAUCAAGCUGAAAAUUGAAACACAGAACAACGAAAGUUGUUCGUG
rnacentral:misc_RNA from 1 species